UACGGAGGGUGCGAGCGUUGUCCGGAAUCCCUGGGCGUAAAGGGCGCGUAGGCGGCCUGAUAAGUAGGGGGUGAAAUCCUGCGGCUUAACCGCAGGGCUGCCUUCUAAACUGUCAGGCUUGAGCACAGUAGAGGCAGGUGGAAUUCCCGGUGUAGCGGUGGAAUGCGUAGAGAUCGGGAAGAACAUCAGUGGCGAAGGCGGCCUGCUGGGCUGUUGCUGACGCUGAGGCGCGACAGCGUGGGGAGCAAACAGG
rnacentral:rRNA from 1 species